UGGGGAUUAGAUACCCCACUAUAAGGAGCGAAAAGACUUAAUGAAGCACUAAGACUCCCAGGUUAAAACUUAAAGAGCAUGGCGGCGGGCCCGAUUCCUCAGGGGAAUUUACCCGAUAAUUGACAACCCACACGGUGCCCCUCACAGCCCUAUCGUUUGUAUGCCGCCGUCUUCAGGUAGCGCCCAAGGCUUUGCUGAGAAUCUUUCAGAAAAAAGACAGGUCAUGGUGCAGCUAAUGGCUGUGUGCGAGGUGAGUUACAAUAGAGCUUCACUUCCGCUGUGUGCCUUAAAAUGCUUACAAAAGUAGGACUUGAAAGUAAAAAGCACUCGCUAGUACCUUUUGAAUUGACUUUGGGCCCGUGCACACACC
rnacentral:rRNA from 1 species